UGGUACAUUUCUGCCAUUUGUUGUUUCAAUCUUUGGACCUCCUCUUUCAAUUCAGAUUCCGACUUCUCAAUCUCCAUCGACGGGUCAAUAAUUCUUGUGUCCAAGUCUUUGCUAGCCAUGGAUACCUUGCUCUUUGAUCUUGUGUUGUCCAGAUGAAUCACCAAAGUGCCACAAACUAACCACCCUCUAUUAUGAUAACAAUGAAAGUAACAAAGAGGAGCAAAACAAUGUCAACAUGUUAGGGUUAGAGCAUUUAUCAGAUAGAAAUAUCACAUUUCAUGCAAUGCCCCUAUUCAUAAUUAACGGUUCUAGAAUGGCUUCGAGGGUACGAAGGUCAUAUGGCAUCAUCCCAAUUUCACUCUUCUUGACCCAUUUUCUUCUUCAUUUUCCUUCUAACACUGCUUGGCUAUUCAAUUCUUUCCCCCUCUUUUCUUUUAAUUGUCAAUCUUUUCUUUCCUCUCAUUUCUCAUAUCCACAAUUUCAUCUCUUUUUUUCUUUUUCUUUUUCUCUCUUUUUUUCAAUGAUUCAAUCGAACCUUAUGUAGGUUGCCUACGUAUCAUGUCUCUCAUGAAUCAGAUCAAGCGUAGUUCUUAAAAAGUAAUGGACAAAAUAAACAAAGAAACAAAAAUCUUUUUGGGAUUUUUCAUUUAUAAUUUUUUUGGAUUUUCAAAUACAAAACAGGAAGUACUAUAACAAAAGACUCGACAAUCUUAACUAGACUGACAGACUCGAUACUACUGUACAAGACUAAAAAUUAAAAGACAACCUAAGAUAGACUAAAAAAUAAAAAGUUUCCUCAAGCAACUCGUGCAUGCAAUGGUUUUGACUAGAAUGGUCCUGGAGUAUUUGUCGUGCUCAAACUCUAGCAAAUUGAUAUAUACCUGAAUGGAAAAAUAAGAUCAAAUAGAGUUAGUGACUCAAGACACAUGUGACGCCACGACACCUUCUAUUGGACACAUGCAAGGCACGAUUAAGGCUAUUUUUGCAAGAUGACCUAUGCAGCCAAAAUGUGGCUAUUAGUGCAAACUUAACAAAGAUGACCUCAAAGACAUGGACAUACCUCACUAAAGCUUAUAUGGAUUCGAACUCCCAAAAAUCAUGACCCAAAAUUAAUUUGCAGAAAUGACCCAUUUUGCAAAAGCGGCCGAUAUGGCCCGAGGUGGCUAAAGAUGCAAACUCAAAAAGGAAGGACCUUAAAGUAAUAUGACACCUAGUUGUGGACUCAAAAUCCUAAGACAUGGGUAAUUGAGCCACUUUUGCGAAAAUGAUCCCAUUUUGCGAGAAUGGCCGAUAUGGCCAAAAAGUGGCUAGACAUGCAAAUUCAACAGGAAUGGCCCUUGAAGUGAGAGGACACUUUAUUGUAGACUCAAGGCUCUAAGACAGGAGAUAACAAACUACUUUGAGAAAAUAAUCCUAUUUUGCAAAAACGGCUGAUAUGGCCAAAUAUGGCUAUACAUGCAAGAUUUGGCUACGACCCCGGAAGCCAAGAAUCUAAGACUUACUAGGAAGACCGGACCCUAUGUGGGUUGCCUACGUAUCUCGCCCUGAAAGACGAGAAUCAGGUAUGCGUAGUUCGGGAAGAUUGGAUACGGGAUAGAAAUUUAAAAAAAAGCAUCUAAUUCGAAAAAAACUAUAUAUUUGUCUUUUUGAAAAAAAUGAUGGAAAAUGUAAAAAAAAAAUGGAUUUUCUUUUUCUUUUUUUUUUGAAAAAUGGUGGGAAAGUACAAAAUCUUUUUGGAUUUUUUUUUUAAAAAAAAAUUUGAAAAUAUUGGGAAAGUGUAAAAUCUUUUUUGGAUUUUUCAUUUUCAUUUUUUUGUCUUUUUUUUUUUGAAAAAGUAGUGAAAGAAAAAUAUAAUUGGCCCCUACUUGCUUCAUCUUUCACCUUCUUUCCCAAGCAUCGGUCCGCCAAAUGACCUUUUUACCCUCAAAGAUGCAACAUGUAUCAUAUAGGGAUGAUUGAAUGUCUUUUUGGGCCACGGGUCCAUUUUGACAAAAUUUGGAUACGCUUCCUACAAAGGGACACGGUACCUGGGACCGAGCCCUACUAGAUCUAAAUGACAUGAUGCAAAUAAAAAUGACCUAAAGGCUGACCUAAAUUUGGUGUUCACUAACAAGGCAAUUCGGGGGAGCGUAUGGUUGAUGGUGGUUGUUCAAACUUUCCACCCACUCCAUACGUCCGACGGCCCCCUGCUAAAAUAAGGGUGACUCAACGAAGAGUUCGUGUACGCGAAGCUUACUCCGAGACUUGUUGCAGAAAGAAUUGACCGGGUAAUGCAUAUGAUGACAGUUAUAAAGCAGUAACACAUAAAGCAAAAACUGUAAACAUAUAAACAACUAGCAAAUAACAAAAUAUAAAAACAUAAUAAAAAUUAAGUAAAGCUAAUGAAAAAACAUACAAAACCUCAACCAAAUAUUCUAAAAGCCAACAAAAUCAAGUACCAGCUCGAACCCGCAAGUCCAUAGCAGAAUCGCCUGAGAUGUCACACCCCUUUUUUUUACAAACUUCACUUAACCCUCUUAUUAUAAAUAAAAAGAUUGAGUAAAGCUCAAACGGGUUUUCAAUUUAGAAAGUGACAAAAGAUGUGUUCAAAAGGAGAUAACUAAGAGUCGCCACCGGAUAUUUAUUUCGGUGUACCGGGUCACCGUUUUUUUAAAAUGAUUUUCCUUUAAAACACUUUAGACUCCAAAACUAAGUCCACACUAGAGAUUCGGGUAAGGGAGUUCAUUUGACUCUAGGAGAAGGUGUUAGGCACUCCCCAAGUCCCGUAACUAGUACGGUUGCGUACUCGAUCAAGUUGGCUUUUAAAAUAUUCAAUUGAGGUAGAAAACACAAAAAAAAAAACAUACAAGAGGCUCGAAAUCGUCCCCACCUAAUAAGAUAAAAAUAAAGUAAAAAUAAAAAUACUAUUCUAUGCUUCCUCAAAAUGUUCCAUCGCUGGUUACCCCGGAUAAAAAUAUAUACAAAUUUCUCGGGACAUUCCCGGAUAUAUUCAACUAAAGGAACGACCCCUCGCCUCGAAAGAAAUAAUAAAACCUAAGGCUUGCCUAUCCAAACAUAAUUGGCCUAACCAUGCUCCUAGCGAUCAAACGGGUAUAGCGAAAUAAAGAACUAACAAAAUAAUCCAAAGAUAAAAUUCUUAUAACUUUUCCAAUUCUCUUCCAUGACAAUUUUUGCCUUAAGGAUUCCAAAUGUCAUUUUGAUUUUUAAGUCAAACGAACCCCCACAUCCCAUUCAGCAAUUAAACGAUAAAAUCCAACAACCACCAAUUUGAAACUAUUAGUAAACUAUCGUUCUUUUAAUUAAGCCUUGUUAAUAUUAGCUAAUGAACCCACCGUAAUCUCUAAAGCCAAUCACAAAGAACAUGAGAGCAAUAUGAAAUCCAACUAAACAAAUACAUUCUUAAUUUCAAACACCCAUGUACCAUAUAACUUCAUUUCUUCAAAAUUUACUACGCAAAACUGAACAGAAAGACAAGACAAGAAUCUGACCUUAAAAGAAUGAGUUUGAACCUAGAUUGUUUGACGGUUUUAGUACUCAAUAACGCACAGGACCACAGACAAGAUUUCAAACGGAAAACCUCGCCGGAAAAUUAAAAGUCAACCGGAUCUGAUUUUAUAUAACCAAAGUCACCAAAAUAAUAUGAAAUGAGAGAACAAUGGUUAGGCCGGAAAAAUAACAGAUGUUGUCAAAUUUAUUAAACCCAAACGGCCAGAUCUGAAAUUCAGGCGAUAAAAAAUAGUAAAUCGGCACGACACUACUUACACGACAACAAACAACGUGCGAAUGAAUGAAGCAGCAGUGGCGUCGAAUGACGAAGGAUGUCGGAGUUUGUCGGAGUUUAAACGAUGACUAUUUUUCUUCUUCUUCUCUUUUUGGUAAUUCAGCUGCUACUCGUUCGUUUGGGGAUGGAGAAACACCGGCUGGUUGGGUUUGGUUGUUGGAGGGUGGUCGUGUGGCUGGUGAGGGCGUGGUGAUGGGCCGCUGGCUGGUCUUUUCCGGCGAGUCCCGAUAGUUAUUUGGUUGUUGCUAUCAUGAAGGAUAUGAGGGGGUCGUUGUUUGCUGGGAAAAAAAUGAACGAUGGGGGUCCUAUGGUCUGUUAGAGAAGACGAUAAUCAGAGUAGGGGUCUCGUUCCAGCUGCUGCAGCUUAGUCCCUUAGGUCUUGUUUAUUUUUGGU
rnacentral:lncRNA from 1 species